UUAACUGAUCUAACAGACAGAAUUGUAUUGGGCCUGUGAGCUAUUCCCUGGGCCAUUUACUGGUGGUGGGGGUGGGGGAGUCACCAAAAUGAAGUAGCAAUAUAAACCUGUCUCUGAGCCUCCCUCUUGUCUGUUUCCUCAUGAACUGUGUUUUGGGCACAGAGAGUCUUGCACUCCUAAUUUCUUUCGGUUAGUCCAGCACAGAACAGGAAUGGGAAGGGAAGAAGGGGAGAAGGGUUCUGUGUAGCCUCACCUAGUGCAUCAUAAUUUCUUACUUGAGGGAGACCAGCACCCUGAAAACGAACUGGAAAGCUGCCUUCUUCAGUCAAAUCUGCUAAAUCAUACCUACAAUGAAUGAUAUUCAAUAACUUCUGUCAUGGCAAAAUUUAUACAGCAGUGGUACCAUUUGUAAUUCUAAUACUUAACUCUUUUAUGGUAUACGCAGUCCUUUUUGAAGGCCAGUUUCCCUCUAUCACAUAACCUGUCACAUACAUUAGAAUUUUUUUUUAAAUUCUUUAGGCUUGAAAAUUAC
rnacentral:lncRNA from 1 species